GUGGCUAACCAUGCUACCCUGAAAGCACCCACUCUCGUCUGAUCUUGGAAGAUAAACAGGGUCAGGUCUGGUUAGUACUUGGAUGGGAGACCGCCUGAGAAUACCAGGUGCUUGUUAUU
rnacentral:rRNA from 1 species